AUUGAACGCUGGCGGCAGGCCUAACACAUGCAAGUCGAACGAGUGGCGGACGGGUGAGUAAUGUCUGGGAAACUGCCUGAUGGAGGGGGAUAACUAAUGGAAACGGUAGCUAAUACCGCAUACCAUCGGAUGUGCCCAGAUGGGAUUAGCUUGUUGGUGGGGUAACGGCGAACCAAGGCGACGAUCCCUAGCUGGUCUGAGAGGAUGACCAGACACACUGUAACUGAGACACGGUCCAGACUCCUACGGUAGGCAGCAGUGGGGAAUAUUGCACAAUGGGCGCAAGCCUGAUGCAGCCAUGCAGCGUGUAUGAAGAAGGCCUUCGGGUUGUAAAGUACUUUCAGCGUGGAGGCGUUACCCGCAGAAGAAGCACCGGCUAACUCCGUGCCAGCAGCCGCGGUAAUAC
rnacentral:rRNA from 1 species